GCAGCGCGGACUUCGGUCUGGCGGCGAGUGGCGAACGGGUGAGUAAUAUAUCGGAACGUACCCAGGAGUGGGGGAUAACGUAGCGAAAGUUACGCUAAUACCGCAUACGUCCCAAGGGAGAAAGCGGGGGAUCGCAAGACCUCGUGCUCAUGGAGCGGCCGAUAUCUGAUUAGCUAGUUGGUGGGGUAAAGGCCCACCAAGGCAACGAUCAGUAGCUGGUCUGAGAGGACGACCAGCCACACUGGAACUGAGACACGGUCCAGACUCCUACGGGAGGCAGCAGUGGGGAAUUUUGGACAAUGGGGGCAACCCUGAUCCAGCAAUGCCGCGUGAGUGAAGAAGGCCCUCGGGUUGUAAAGCUCUUUUGUCAGGGAAGAAAAGGUUGAGGCUAAUAUCUGCGGCUCAUGACGGUACCUGAAGAAUAAGCACCGGCUAACUACGUGCCAGCAGCCGCGGUAAUACGUAGGGUGCAAGCGUUAAUCGGAAUUACUGGGCGUAAAGCGUGCGCAGGCGGUUUUGUAAGACUGUCGUGAAAUCCCCGGGCUUAACCUGGGAAUGGCGAUGGUGACUGCAAGGCUAGAGUUUGGCAGAGGGGGGUAGAAUUCCACGUGUAGCAGUGAAAUGCGUAGAUAUGUGGAGGAACACCGAUGGCGAAGGCAGCCCCCUGGGUCAAAACUGACGCUCAUGC
rnacentral:rRNA from 1 species